rnacentral:rRNA from 1 species
AUACGUAGGGCGCGAGCGUUGUCCGGAAUUACUGGGUGUAAAGGGUGCGUAGGCGGGACUGCAAGUCAGAUGUGAAAUGCCGGGGCUCAACCCCGGAGCUGCAUUUGAAACUGUGGUUCUUGAGUGAGGUAGAGGUAAGCGGAAUUCCUAGUGUAGCGGUGAAAUGCGUAGAUAUUAGGAGGAACAUCGGUGGCGAAGGCGGCUUACUGGGCCUUUACUGACGCUGAGGCACGAAAGCGUGGGGAGCAAACAGGAUUAGAUACCCUGGUAGUCCACGCUGUAAACGAUGAUGACUAGGUGUGGGGGGACUGAACCCUUCCGUGCCGCAGUUAACACAAUAAGUCAUCCACCUGGGGAGUACGGCCGCAAGGUUGAAACUCAAAUGAAUUGGCGGGG